UGGGGAAUUUUGCGCAAUGGGCGAAAGCCUGACGCAGCAACGCCGCGUGGGUGAUGAAGGUCUUCGGAUCGUAAAACCCUGUCGUCAGGGACGAAGGUUGUAUGCCUAACAGGUGUGCAGCUUGACGGUACCUGGAGAGGAAGCCCCGGCUAACUCUGUGCCAGCAGCCGCGGUAAUACAGAGGGGGCAAGCGUUAUUCGGAAUUAUUGGGCGUAAAGGGCGCGUAGGCGGUGUCUUAAGUGAGAUGUGUAAUCCCCGAGCUUAACUUGGGAACUGCAUCUCAGACUGGGGCGCUAGAGUACUGGAGAGGGUGGUAGAAUUCCACGUGUAGCGGUGAAAUGCGUAGAGAUGUGGAGGAAUACCAGUGGCGAAGGCGGCCACCUGGACAGUAACUGACGCUGAGGCGCGAAAGUGUGGGUAGCAAACAGG
rnacentral:rRNA from 1 species